rnacentral:rRNA from 1 species
GUGAGGAAUAUUGGUCAAUGGGCGAGAGCCUGAACCAGCCAAGUCGCGUGAAGGAAGAAGGAUCUAUGGUUCGUAAACUUCUUUUGCAGGGGAAUAAAGUGCAGGACGUGUCCUGUUUUGUAUGUACCCUGAGAAUAAGGAUCGGCUAACUCCGUGCCAGCAGCCGCGGUAAUACGGAGGAUCCGAGCGUUAUCCGGAUUUAUUGGGUUUAAAGGGUGCGUAGGUGGUUUGAUAAAUCAGCGGUGAAAGUUUGCAGCUUAACUGUAAAAAUGCCGUUGAAACUGUCGGACUUGAGUGUAAAUGAGGUAGGCGGAAUGCGUGGUGUAGCGGUGAAAUGCAUAGAUAUCACGCAGAACUCCGAUUGCGAAGGCAGCUUACUAAGCUACAACUGACACUGAAGCACGAAAGCGUGGGGAUCAAACAGGAUUAGAUACCCCAGUAGUCC